UACAACUAGAUAACGCCUCGCGAACCAA
rnacentral:piRNA from 1 species